rnacentral:rRNA from 1 species
ACUCCUACKGGAGGCAGCGCAGCUUUUUGAGACGGUCUCUUUUUUCACGGGCAGGAACGGUCAGCGGCCGGAGGCACCGCUCUUGCGCAAUGCCUGGCACUUCCCCGCCCGCACGGCCCGCAAGGCCCAGUCUCUGGGGAAAAUGGAAGCCACGGCAAGGCGGCUUGAAACCCUUUACGCCAUCAGGACGGCAACCUCCCCCAUUGUGGUGGUGACUUCGGCCCUGGCGCUCCUCGAAAGCCUCAUGCCGCCUGAAGUUCUGGUCAGCAACGUGGAUUACCGGGUCAGGGGAGAGGAGAUCGAGUUCGACCUAUUCAACCGACAACUCAUCGAGCGCGGUUACUAUCCCGUGGCACUGGUCGAGGAAUACGGCGACCUCAGCCGGCGCGGCGGGGUCCUCGAUAUUUAUGCCCCCCUCUACCGAUGGCCGCUCAGGCUCGAAUUCUUCGGGGAGGAACUGGAAUCCAUCCGUCUCUUCCAUCCCAGCAGUCAACGUUCCCUGGGGGUGCUCGAAGAGGUGGUGCUGCCUCCCGUAGGAGU